UUUAAUGAGAGUUUGAUCCUGGCUCAGGACGAACGCUGGCGGCGUGCCUAAUACAUGCAAGUAGAACGCUGAGGUUUGGUGUUUACACUAGACUGAUGAGUUGCGAACGGGUGAGUAACGCGUAGGUAACCUGCCUCAUAGCGGGGGAUAACUAUUGGAAACGAUAGCUAAUACCGCAUAAGAGUAAUUAACACAUGUUAGUUAUUUAAAAGGAGCAAUUGCUUCA
rnacentral:rRNA from 2 species